AUGAAACUCCCACCUUCCCGCCUCUGGAAUUUGGUUCUCCUCUGGUUCAAUUCGGAGAUUCAUAUUCAGUGGAUUGAAUUCGAAAUGAUUCUUAAAAGCAUUUUCAUGUCUCCUGUAUUCAUAAAGACAAGCCUGUUAGAUUACUUUUCUCCUGCAGUAAAUAAUUUUACAGAAAUUGCUUCAAAGUUGGCUGAGAGACUCCAAGAUUUUGGUGAAAGCAUGUAUGUUCCACAUAUAUCUAUAAUAGGUAAAAUUAAAAGGAAAUGUUAACUAACAUCGGUGUUGCUGAAAUAGGUUUGAGAAUUUCUUGCUGUGAUCUGUCUGUCAACUCGGGCAUCUGCCUCUCCACUCUAGCACAUCCUAUGCAGGGCUGCCCUAUCUCAAAAGAGCUAUUUUUGACAUUCUAAGUGGGAUUUGUGCUGCUCAGAAAUGCCAGUGCCUCCCUACUGCAAUUGACUAGUUACAGCACACUCUGCUUAACACUUAAAGUCCUCCAUUAUGUGACCCUGGCUUUUUCCAAUUUGAUUUCAUGUUGUUUUUAGUAUCUAUAUAUCAUAUUCAGCCAAACAAUUUAAUUUGCAAAGCGUGAUUUCUUCCUACCUUUUUUUUGUCAUUACCUUUACAUAGAGUUCCUUAUUUCUACUUUCAUAUGACAAAAUUCUGUUUAUCCAGAACAACAACAAUAUGAGGCUAUUAAUUUUGAAAAUGUUAAAAUAAACAUUUAUGGUUAAUUCUGUGUAAAAUCACACAAGUACAACACAAUUUGAACAACAUUUUAAUAUGUAAGGAAAAAAUACCUGAUGAGAAUACCGAGGCAAUGUCUUUAAAGUAAAAUUUUGAGGGUAAACAUCUGUGUAUUAAAUAUAGUAUCAUGAUAUAAACAGCAAAUCCUGGGGGCUGAUGUAAGGAUACAUAGAAAAGAGUAGAUGAUCUAGAAAUAGGCUCGGUGAUAUAUAAGCAAGUAUUAGUAAUAAACAAUACAGCAAAAAUCAAUGGGAAAAGAUUAUUCAACUGUAGUAUUGUGUAAGUUAUGUUAGUACCUGCUAUAAAAGUAAAUUCAGAAUUGCACUUCACGUUGUAUGCUAACAUAAGCAACAGGUAUAAAGAAUUGCUUAGUAAAAAUGGAAAUUUUUUGAAAGAGAUGCCAAGUUUAGAAGCAAUGAAGAAAUAAUGCAAUCAGAUUUGAGACCAUUAAAAUGUUUCAGAAUAUAAAAAUUAAUAUUCAAAUGCAAAAUGAAAAGUGUCAAAAACUUAUUCUCCUGCAAAAAUGGAGAGCAAAAUAUAUGCUAUAAAAAUAUUUUUUUGAAAAUCGACUCUAGUCCCACUGCCUCCCCCUCCGCACCCCUCCCCACCUCCCGCACGCGUCAAACUUGAAGUGGCCCCGGCCUGACACCAUGGCUGCCCCUCACCGCCCCGCGGGUCUCCCGCCAUCCGCCCCGCACCCGCACCCGCGAGCGCACCGCUCACCGCGCCCCUUCCCACUCCCCGCAGGGCCGGCGCCGCGCUCGCCCUAGCGUUCCUUCCCACCGCCCCCUCCCCCGCAGCGUGAGCAACGCGAAGCCGGACAGAGAGCACGGCGGCGGCAUCGGCACCGACUCCGGCGCGGGCUCGGCGGCGCCCUGGAGGAGGAGGUCCGGACACUGUUUGUCAGCGGCCUCCCUGUGGACCUUAAACCCAGAGAACUGUACUUGCUCUUCCGGCCGUUCAAGGGGUGUGAAGGGUCCCUGAUCAAGCUCACCGCGAGACAGCCUGUUGGUUUUGUGAUCUUUGACAGCUGGGCAGGAGCAGAAGCAGCCAAGGCUGCGUUGAACGGUAUUCGCCU
rnacentral:lncRNA from 1 species